CCCUCGGUGGCUUAGUGGUUAGAGCGCUGGACUAGUGAUUCGGAGGUUGCGGGUUCGAGUCCCGCUCGAGGAG